UAUUUUUUAUCAUAUGAUCAAUUGUGGACAAACAAAGACAAAAUAGUUAUAUAGUUUAUAGUACAAUCUUGUGGUUAUUUGUAUAUCAUGGCACUUUUAAAUGAUAGGGCAUUUAGUGACCUCAUCAAGAUACUUGAAAUCGAUGAUCCGAUGAACUCAAAUGAUCCUGAUAGAAGAGUCAUAGAAAAAUCUUUCCGGAAAUUAGCUCUGAAAACACAUCCUGAUAAGGGUGGAGAUCCCAUGAAGUUCAAGAAAAUAAAUGAUGCGUAUAACCGACUCAUUCAACAUAUUUCAAAGUUAGAAAUAAUUGAAUCUGACAAGGAACUAACAACUACUUCAGUCAUUAUCGAAAUAUCGAAGCAGGCUAUUAGUAAAUGGAUUGAAAAAUUAAAAGUUUACGGAAUCCCACGUACAUCCAACUUUAAGAGUACACUAUUUGAAGGACCUUAUAAGCAUUAUAAAGGUAGAAGUCGUUCAAUCGGACCUAUUUCAAUUACAUUGUAUGAAGAACCACAAGAUGGUAUACCAAAAGUUCAUAUUAGAUGUGAAAAUUAUAUGUUAUGGAUUCAAGAACAGAAACUACCACUUCAUCUACAUGUUAAUAAGAAUAAAAAAAUCAUGUUUGAUCAAUGGAGGAUUAUGAAUGUGGCAGAAUUUGGAUUUGUGUCGAGUUCAAUUUAUAGUAAGGGAAGUUGCGUUGCAGCAUAUAAACAAUGGUCCGAAGAGUUUGAAUCAAAUAAGAGAAGUCAAAAUAAUGAGGAUCCUAGUGAAAAAAAGGAACAACAAGAAAGAAAAAGAUAUGAAAAUAUACAAUCACAAAAAACAAAUAUUAAUAUUUCUAAAAAAAAUGAUGAAGAAUCAGUUCCUACUUCUAAAUUACUCGAUAAAGAAUCUCAUAAACCAUGGUGGAGUGUAUAUUCAGAGAAAUAUAAACUUGAUGAAACUACUCAAACAUCCGAAUAUGAUUCAAAGAAUUCAGCUGUUUUUCCAAAUGUGUUUUCAAUGACAACUAAUACAUACAAAGAUUAUUCGAAGUCUAAUUCAAAUAAAGAAAAAUUAAUAAACAUGGCAUCUCAACAGGAAAAAAAUGAUACAGAAAACAUUGAUUCUGUAAAUGCUUCACAUGCUAACACUCAAAUAAACUCUUUGCCCUAUUCAGAGAUUAAAAAAAAGUCUAUUCAACCUAAUAUUUUUAAAAAACCGAGUAAUGUUUAUCUUGAUACGAACAAUUGUGUUCAGUCUAACUCUAAUUCUAAAAAAUUGGAAUCUGUGGAAAUUUCAAAAGAACUUAAGCCAAAUGAAAAUAUAGACAUAUCUCGUGUCGAUGAUUAUUUGCAAACACACUAUCCUGCUGAAAGGAACUUCAAUUCGUGUAAACAUCUCUAUUAUACCGCCAAUGCAAUGUUUUUUACAUGAGAAGGGGGGCCUGAUGCACCCUACUACAGAGUAAUUUAUAUUUGUUUAUCUUCUUUUAAAAUGUUAAUAUAAUAUUCAUGUGACGUGCCAAAUAUUGGACCUGUACUUCAUUCUUUAACUUUUGCUACUUCAUCGUAUACAACUACUUUAACUUUCUUUGCAAUCAACUGUGUAAUUCAGUUUUUACUAUCUCCAUCAUUGAUUUAGUAUAUGUUACUCGAUACAAUUUGCUUGACAAAAUGGAUAAUUAGAACUCAUCUUGAAUUUAUGAAUCGAGAAUAAUUAAACAUAAAUUCGUCAAGAAAAUGUUCGAACACAGACGUGACUCUUAAGCUUGUUCUCAUAAAAAAGUGCACCAAAGCUUAGUGUAAAGUCCGCAAAAGAAAUCAAGAUCAGUUCUGUUGUACCACAUCGAUGGUGAAGGAGGAUAAAAAUGACGGCGUUCC
rnacentral:misc_RNA from 1 species